AACGAACGCUGGCGGCGUGCCUAACACAUGCAAGUCGAACGGAAUUGUGGGGCUUGCUCUUCAAUUUAGUGGCGCACGGGUGAGUAACGCGUGGAUAAUCUGCCUGACGAUCUGGGAUAACAUCUCGAAAGGGGUGCUAAUACCGGAUAAGCCCACGGGAACUUCGGUUUUUGCGGGAAAAGGGGGGGACCUUUUGGCCUUCUGUCGUCAGAUGAGUCCGCGUACCAUUAGCUAGUUAGUAGGGUAAAGGCCUACCAAGGCUACAAUGGUUAGCUGGUUUGAGAGAAUGAUCAGCCACACUGGAACUGAGACACGGUCCAGACUCCUACGGGAGGCAGCAGUGGGGAAUUUUGCGCAAUGGGCGAAAGCCUGACGCAGCAACGCCGCGUGAGUGAUGAAGGCUUUCGGGUCGUAAAGCUCUGUCAGAGGGAAAGAAGUGUAUUGUGGCUAAUAUCCGCGAUACUUGACGGUACCCUCAAAGGAAGCACCGGCUAACUCCGUGCCAGCCGCCGCAGUAACAC
rnacentral:rRNA from 1 species